rnacentral:rRNA from 1 species
GUCUUUUUGAAAUAAUUUAAAGUNUAAUCUGCCCACUGAUAAAAAAUUAAAGGGCUGCAGUAUAAUGACUGUACAAAGGUAGCAUAAUCAAUAGUUUUUUAAUUGAAAACUUGUAUGAAAGAUUUGAUGAAAUAUGGACUGUCUCUAAUUUAUAGAUUGAAUUUUAUUUUUUAGUAAAAAAGCUAAAAUAAAUUUAAAAGACGAGAAGACCCUAUAGAGUUUUAUAUUUAAUUUUAUUUUAAAAUUAUAUAAAAAUUAAUAUUAAAAAUAAAAUUAAAUAUUAUAUUGGGGUGAUAGAAAAAUUAAAUUAACUUUUUUUAAAAAUUAAACAUAAAUAAAUGAUUGUAUGAUCCAUAAAUAAUGAUUAUAAGAAAAAAUUACCUUAGGGAUAACAGCGUAAUAUUUUUUUUUAGUUCAAAUAAAAAAAAAAGUUUGCGACCUCGAUGUUGGAUUAAGAUAAAAUUUAAAUGCAAAAGUUUAAAAAUUUUGAUCUGUUCGAUCAUUAAAAUCUUACA